GGACCGUCCAAACGUUAUUCGGGAAUCACUGGGGCUUAAAGGGUGCGUAGGCGGCCUGACAAGUUGGGUGUGAAAUCCCUCGGGCUCAACCGAGGGAACUGCGCUCAAAACUGUCAGGCUAGAGGGAGAUAGAGGUGAGCGGAACUUAUGGUGGAGCGGUGAAAUGCGUUGAUAUCAUAAGGAACACCGGUGGCGAAAGCGGCUCACUGGAUCUCUUCUGACGCUGAGGCACGAAAGCUAGGGUAGCGAACGGGAUUAGAUACCCCGGUAGUCCUAGCUGUAAACGAUGAGCACUUGGUUGGAGACUCCUCCAUAGGUUUCCGGCCGAAGCGAAAGUGUUAAGUGCUCCGCCUGGGGAGUAUGGUCGCAAAGGCUG
rnacentral:rRNA from 1 species